rnacentral:lncRNA from 1 species
GAGCCUUUAGUUGCAUCAAAUGGCAAUAGUUGUCGCAAUGACAUGGCGUCGCCAAUUUCUUUGGAGAAUGCUGCCUUGUCAGCGACACCAACAAGAAGUGCAACUUCAGGAGGCGGGGAACCUCACAAAUCUACAGUCUUGGCAAAAUUGCUAAGAAUAAUAGAAGAAAUGAGAGCCGAGAUAUCGGCCCAAGGAGACAUCUUAAGGAGGCUGAAAAUGGCAGCUUCGCUGCGUGGGCAUGAUCGUGCCAGACCUGUUGACAGCAGCACCUUUGACAUGCUGCCACUGACGUCCCACGAAAGCCUGCAGGAACUUGAGAAGCGACUGUCGACAGCCGAGGGGAAAGCCAACUUUGUAUCCUGCCUGUCAACAACAGGGAGAUCAUCUCCAGAAGAUUGGCUUCGUCACAUAAUGCGAAGGUGUAUGCGAGACAGCCUUGCCCAAACCUUUAGCAUGACUGGCAGGAAAGGAAAAAAAAGCCUUUCAUGGGCCUCCACCUCCUGGGUGAUAUGAUUGAGGCAGUGAAGAAGAACUUCACAGACACCAUACAGGUGGCGGCGCGUUCAUAUGCUGCAGACUGGCGGCGCUACGAUCCUUCAAGGAUUUA